rnacentral:rRNA from 1 species
AAUAUUNAUAUUAUUUUUAUAAUACUAUGAUGGUGGCANNAAAUCGGAGGCCCCGACUGUUUACUAAAAACACAAUUCAGAGCAAUGAUGUAAAUCAUAGUAUUCUGGAUGAAAUUUGCCCAAUGCCAUUAACAUAAAAGAGGUAAUAGGAAACUGUUACUAAUUGAAAGUCUGGUUAAUAGCGGUCUUAACUAUGAGGAUCCUAAGGUAGCAAAAUCAGUUGGCCAUUAAAUGUGGUCUGGUAUCAAUAGUGUAACGAUGGUCUCACUGUCUCUACAACUUGCUCAGUGAAAUUGAAUUACCCGUGCAGAUGCGGGUNGNCCCCA